rnacentral:rRNA from 1 species
AUUGAACGCUGGCGGCAGGCCUAACACAUGCAAGUCGAGCGGAUGACGGGAGCUUGCUCCUUGAUUCAGCGGCGGACGGGUGAGUAAUGCCUAGGAAUCUGCCUGGUAGUGGGGGACCACGUUUCGAAAGGAACGCUAAUACCGCAUACGUCCUACGGGAGAGAGUAGGGGACCUUCGGGCCGUGCGCUAUCAGAUGAGCCUAGGGCGGAUUAGCUAGUUGGUGGGGUAAUGGCUCACCAAGGUGACGAUCCGUAACUGGUCUGAGAGGAUGAUCAGUCACACUGGAACUGAGACACGGUCCAGACUCCUACGGGAGGCAGCAGUGGGGAAUAUUGGACAAUGGGCGAAAGCCUGAUCCAGCCAUGCCGCGUGUGUGAAGAAGGUCUUCGGAUUGUAAAGCACUUUAAGUUGGGAGGAAGGGCAGUAAGUUAAUACCUUGCUGUUUUGACGUUACCGGCAGAAUAAGCACCGGCUAACUCUGUGCCAGCCGCCGCCGUAA